rnacentral:rRNA from 1 species
GACGAACCACCCAAACGUUAUUCGGAAUUACUGGGCUUAAAGGGUGCGUAGGCGGCGCGGAAAGUCAGAUGUGAAAUCCCUCGGCUUAACCGAGGAACUGCGUUUGAAACUACCGUGCUCGAGUAAGACAGAGGUAAGCGGAACUUCGGGUGGAGCGGUGAAAUGCGUUGAUAUCCGAAGGAACACCGGUGGCGAAAGCGGCUUACUGGGUCUUUACUGACGCUGAUGCACGAAAGCUAGGGGAGCAAACGGG